GUAGUCACAAAGAUCUGCCCUUGAUUUUACUGAAAUGUAAAAUCAAUGGCAUAGAUCUGUGUGAUUAC